GCACAUUUAAUGGGCUGCUGCACGUGUGAUGUCAUAAUGCUCUGAGUCUUUGUGAUGUCAUAAUGGAAAAAAUGUCACAGUGAUGUAAUAAUGGAAAAAGUCAAGCUGUACUGCUGCAGCCCCGAGAUUCCUCAUUCUUGAUCAGGCGACUGAGAGAGAAUAUUUUGUGAUCAGAAAACAACAGAACAAUCAGAAAACAACAAAACUACAAAACAAUUAUCAGAGAACAACAAAACAU